AGUUGCCAGCAUUCAGUUGGGCACUCUAAGGUGACUGCCGGCUAAAAGUCGGAGGAAGGUGGGGAUGACGUCAAAUCAUCAUGCCCCUUAUGACCUGGGCUACACACGUGCUACAAUGGGCGGUACAAAGGGUCGCGAACCCGCGAGGGGGAGCCAAUCCCAAAAAGCCGCUCUCAGUUCGGAUUGCAGGCUGCAACUCGCCUGCAUGAAGCCGGAAUCGCUAGUAAUCGCGGAUCAGCAUGCCGCGGUGAAUACGUUCCCGGGCCUU
rnacentral:rRNA from 1 species